AAACUUUGUCAGUUGGUCAAAAGGUGUUAAUUAAGUCUCGUCGUUUCUCACAAAGGAAAAGGCUUGUGUCGCAAAUUUUUUCUGCUUUAUAACGGUCCAUAUAGAAUUCGCAAAAUUAUUCCUGAUAACACUGUCGAAGUAGAAACUCUUAAAUCUCGGCGCUCUAAGGGAAUACAUCAUAUAUCGAACGUUAACAUUUUUGUGGAAUGACAUACCUUUGAGAAACUUAACAGUUAUACGUAAACACACGGCGAGUGCAAGGAUACCGCGCCGUGUUCUGGCGGCGGCACAUAACUCAAAGUAACAGUCAAGUCUGCGCGCCGCACAAGGCAGUCGUUGACCGCAAACAAUUACUUUCUAUGUCACGCGUACCCAUAGCUGAUCGAGCACUCAGUGCGAGUGCACUGACAGCCGAUAUGGUUGUAUAAAAUAUUGAAGAACUUCAGGUAAAUUCUGUGUGUGUCUGACGUUAAGAGGACUUGCUAUCGAGAAAAUGUCAGGAAGAAUGUAAUUUCGAAGAAGAAAGUAAUAAACUAAAAAAGUAACAAUUGAGUUUAUUUUUCAGGUAACAUAUUUACACUUAGGUACGUACUUUAGACGUAAUUUGCUGCUCGCGAUUACGUGAUUUACACUUUGUGUUAACUGAUUUUGCUUAAUGAACAGGGUUGUUAAUUAUGUAUAUUAUGCAUCGAUUGGCUGCACUGCUUUUUCACUGAUGUCACAUUUUUUUAAUUAUGUGCCUGCUGUGCUUAUUUAUUUAAAUUAUAAUUGUCACCUGAUUAGUUGUGCUGAUAUGGUUAUGUAUGUACGUUAUACUUUGUGAUUUAUCUGCUUGCCCCUUCAUGUUUACUUAUUAAGAUUACAUAUGAACAUUUAUUUGCUUAUGCUGAUAUGAUGCUAAUGGCCUGUUUAUUAUGUAAGAUAUAUAUUUGUUGCUUUGCGUAUGGAUUGCAUAUUUACACAUUUGUUUUGUUGUCAUAACUACUCAUUAAUUUGGUAUAUAGAAAUGCUGAUAUAUGGUGUACGAACAUAGAGUUUAGAUUACACUAUGGUAUUAAUUAUAGAUUGUUCGCUUGGCAGAGCCUCAUUAUAGGGAUUGUGCUACAUCCACUUGUUAACAUUCUGUUCUCCACUGAUACAUUACUUGCUACUGCAUGUUUUGCUUACACUCAGUGCCUUAUAUUUUAAGGUAAGAAAAUGAACUGCUAUAAUUCUACGAACGACACUAAUACAAUAAACUUCAUUGAAGUCACAUGAGCUGGAGGUUUUAUGGAAGCUGUAUAAACUUAUGCUAAUAGGAAGGAAGCUAACGACAUGACAUACCAACACUAGGUUUAGACCAUUGACAGUUUUUACACUGCAUUCUUCGUGAGCAAUUGAAGUAGAAAGUGACACUUGACGCAAUAAAUACUCCACGUGUUUGCUCUGUUUUGCCAUGAUUCUUGAAGUGGUGCACACAUUGUGAAAUAUUACGAUCAUUCACACUCCGUACUCGUACUUACUUAUUGAAAGUUAUUCAAACUAAAGGCUGUUAGAGGUCAUGUAUGCAUUUCUUUUAUUUAAUUAUGGACAAGGUAACCAAAAUGUAUUUUAUAAUUCAUUAUGAGAAAAAGAUUUGUCAGAUGGAUUACACAGAGGUUAUGUGUGGACAUUGUCUUUGGAUUGUAUGGGAUGAUGAAUUGAAGUUUGCACUAGGAUUUUAUCUGUACUUGUUCGAGGAGACUGACUAGAGGAAAGAGCUGUUAGGGAAGUGAAAUGAUAUUGGUGAUAAGGUUUAUGUGUAUCGAUGUAUUGAAGAGGUAUUAUUGAAGUAUUAAGAUUAUGGGAUGCUGAUGAUUGGAGUUUUGGUGGAUAAGAGGUAAAGUAAGUGAGGAGCAUAUUUUUUUUUGUUGGUUUAUAAGGAACAAGGAGGAUGAAGAUAGCAGACUAGAACACUCAAAUAGAAGGAAGAUUGUCUACACACACACUUUGUUAAAUCAAUAAGCAGUAUAUACUUUUUUUUUGGGAGAAAGAAAGUAUUUGCAUAUCAUGGCACACUGACAGUUGAUCAGAAAAAGUUGGCUUGGCAAACAUUGGUCUUGACGUGAUGACUAUGACGUUGACUAACUAUUGUUGACUGUUAUGCACUGUACCAUUACUACUUUAUACACAUGUUGAGCAUCAAAUUUUGACAGAAUUGCAUUUACACAGUUAACACUAUUCAAUUACACAUUAGUGUAAAUGUGGAUGAAAGAUGAGUGAGUGUGUUUUGUGUGUUUUCCUUUCCUAAUCCCAAAUAAUUGGUACCGACCUAUCUCCUAAAUAUUAUUUUACUUGUUUGUUGUGUCCUGCACUGACACCCAUAAAUAUUAUAGGUUUACUGAUAUUUGUGUAUUUGUAAUAGUUAAUAUGACAAUUAUCUGAUGUCAUUUGUGUGUUUAUUAUAAUUUUUAUGUUUAGUGUAAGAGCAUAGAUAAUGAUUUUGUAAAAGCAAUUGUGUGUGCAUUCAAACUGUUGUUCGUGCUUGCACUUGUUCAACAUUGGUGGGUGCCACUUGGAAAUGUUUAAUUUCUGCUAAUGAACUCUGAUGAACUGUCUGAUUAGUGAUAAUGAAUAUUAUGGACUGUUACCUGCACUUGUUCGACAUGAUAGGUGUCACUUGGAAAUGUUUAAUUUCUGCUGAUGAACUGUCUAAUUAUUGAUAGUGAGUGUUAUGGACAGUUACCUGCACUUGUUCAACAUUGCUGGGUGCCACUGAUGGAACUGAUUCUACUGAAAUAACGCCACUUGUUGCUGUCUGCACCUGUCAACAUUACUGGGUGCCACUGAUGGAACUGCUUCUACUGAAAUGAUGUCACUUGUUGCUGACUGCACCUGCUCAACAUUUCUGGGUGCCACUGAUGAGCUGCUUCUACUGAGAUGAUGUCACUUGUUGGUGUCUGCAUCUUUUCAACAUUGCUGGGUGCCACUGAUGGACUGCUUCUACUGGAAUGGUGUCACUUGUUGGUGUCUGCACCUGUUCAACAUUGCUGGGUGCCACUGAUGGAACUGCUUCUACUGAGAUGUCACUUGUUGCUGUCUGCACCUGCUCAACAUUGCUGGGUGCCACUGUUGGAGCUGUUUAAAUACUGCUGAUGAAAUGUUAUGAGACUGCUAUUUGCACCUGUUGACCAUUGCUGGGUGCUACUGUUGGAACUGUCAACUACUCUGAGGACUCCUACUUGUUUAUUGAACUAUUGAAAGGAUUAUAUGUGAAUAUUUGUAUAAACUGAUUUUUUGUGUGUUUACUGUUUAUGGAAUGUUAUGAGGCUCUCACGUGCGCCUAUUCGUCAUUGCUGACGCUAUUGAUUGAAUUGUUUGACCACAUGAUACUUGUGUAAACUAUUAUGUAAAAUCAUAUGCAUGCAAGCAUUUGUAUUCCUUACUGUAUUUUAUAUAUUAGGUUAUUGAAGGGACAGUGCAAAGCCAA